CGGCGCCUCAUACUUUACCAGUUUUUCAUCCUCUACCAGCGGGGACAACAUAAUCAGCACAUGUUCGGAUGAGAAGUAGAUUAUGUCUUAAUACAGGAAAAAGAAGGAUUGACAGAUAAAACGAGCGUAAUUACUGGGUAUGCACAAAGUGUGAAGCUCUGAUGGCGGAUUGAGAAAAUGGGCCGAAAAGAGAAAAUGCCCAGGUUGCUUCUUGUUGGACAGGUGGUUUCCAUUCAUCAAAAGGAACAAAUGAUUACAACCACUAAUAACCCAUAAAUGUGCACUCAUUCAGGGCUAGCUCUACAGGCACAAUUCCUUUAAAAAGAUCAUGAAGGACAUCAGGUGGGAAACCAGUGAUGGUAUGAAAAUACUCUAACCUCUGGUUAAGUACACAGUCUCCUUGAACCCCAAACUCGUCCUGAUUCUCCCCAAGCUCCACAGCAUGUAAGUCACAGUCAUGGCUGGCUUUUGUCCUCAGAUGUAACUCCCCACCACCAACUUCAUGAGACUGAAUUUGAUCGAUGGUAGCUAUACAGAAUCUGCAAAAAUAUUUUGCUCUGAAAGACUUCAUGAAGCCUGCCAAUACAAGGGCUGCAAGACUGUCAGAAGCUAUGCGCAUGACAGUACCCCCUAACUACCUUGCCAAUGGAUUUAAUGAAUACAUCGUAUUUUUCAAGAGUACAAAGUUCUCCUAACAGAGGACCAAGUGUUCUUUCAUAGCCAAAUCUCUGAAUGUCUGAAAGUUUACACAAUGCAGCUAGCUGAAUCGCAUGCAGGUUAGACCUAUACUUUCUAGGAAUAUCACCAAAUACCCAGUAAACUGCACACAGCUUAUGUAUUUUCCUUGAUGUGCCAAAUGGAUUGGCUAUUUCAAGAUCAUCCGUGUACAAAAGAAGGUAGUGUCAGGUCUUCUGAGGACGGUAGUUCAUUAUCUUUGAAAUAUGACCCAUCUCUAUGACUCAUGUACAGACCUUUAUGUGCUGUUUUUGUUUCUUUCAUUUUUUCAAGAAUAUCAGGAUGUCAUCUCAAGAAUAGAAAUGUGCACUGUGGCGUGUCCUGGUUCUAGCUCAUAAUGCAU
ensembl:lncRNA